AUGUGUGGAAAACCGCUGCUUCGAGCUUCGUCAAAAAUCUGGCAAGGGUGGUGGCGGUCGCGUCGGAAGCUAUUUACAAUUCAAAGGUUUUUGAGCGGCAUCACUGAUGGCAGUCGUUGGUCUACAGAUUUGUGUAAGGUGCACCGAAGAUCUACAGAGUCAGAUGUUGUUGUCGAAGAGCAAGAUGCAAAGGCAUGUGAAGGAACUUUAUGUUUAUCGGUUCUACUUCUUUUUUCUGUCUUUCUGCAAACACAACAAGCAAAAGACAAAUAA